rnacentral:rRNA from 1 species
AGAGUUUGAUCCUGGCUCAGGAUGAACGCUAGCGGCAGGCUUAACACAUGCAAGUCGAGGGGCAGCGGGGAGUAGCAAUACUCCGCCGGCGACCGGCGCACGGGUGCGUAACGCGUAUGCAACCUACCUUUAACAGGGGCAUAACACUGAGAAAUUGGUACUAAUUCCCCAUAACAUUCGAGAAGGCAUCUUCUUGGGUUAAAAACUCCGGUGGUUAAAGAUGGGCAUGCGUUGUAUUAGCUAGUUGGUGAGGUAACGGCUCACCAAGGCGACGAUACAUAGGGGGACUGAGAGGUUAACCCCCCACAUUGGUACUGAGACACGGACCAAACUCCUACGGGAGGCAGCAGUGAGGAAUAUUGGUCAAUGGACGCAAGUCUGAACCAGCCAUGCCGCGUGCAGGAAGACGGCUCUAUGAGUUGUAAACUGCUUUUGUACGAGGGUAAACGCAGAUACGUGUAUCUGUCUGAAAGUAUCGUACGAAUAAGGAUCGGCUAACUCCGUGCCAGCAGCCGCGGUAAUACGGAGGAUCCAAGCGUUAUCCGGAUUUAUUGGGUUUAAAGGGUGCGUAGGCGGUUUGAUAAGUUAGAGGUGAAAUACCGGGGCUCAACUCCGGAACUGCCUCUAAUACUGUUGAACUAGAGAGUAGUUGCGGUAGGCGGAAUGUAUGGUGUAGCGGUGAAAUGCUUAGAGAUCAUACAGAACACCGAUUGCGAAGGCAGCUUACCAAACUAUAUCUGACGUUGAGGCACGAAAGCGUGGGGAGCAAACAGGAUUAGAUACCCUGGUAGUCCACGCAGUAAACGAUGAUAACUCGUUGUCGGCGAUACACAGUCGGUGACUAAGCGAAAGCGAUAAGUUAUCCACCUGGGGAGUACGUUCGCAAGAAUGAAACUCAAAGGAAUUGACGGGGGCCCGCACAAGCGGAGGAACAUGUG